AUCCCCACACGUGUCGGCAGCUCAGAGGAGGUAAUGACUGACUCAUUCUCCUGGGAGCGGCCAUCGGGCUUUAUUUUUGAGCUGGAACGUGAAAGUUAAAUGAAAGCCGCACUGAGUAGGUGGGAAGGGAAGACAGUACUCCAGGCAAGUAGAGCAGAGUCCAAAGGGAACACAGAUGACAAAACAAUGGACUCUGGAAUACGUCUUUGCUUCUUGGACACCAUACCUCUCCCUUGACCUCGUCAACGUGUAGAGUGAAGGAGAAGGCCUGAGCGUCCUCCUAUGUAAGGUGCAACUUAGUAACCACACAGCAUGCUCUGGAGAAGACAGGAGGAAGCUACUAUUGACAGCCCCUCUCCAGGAACAGAACAAAGGACAUGCUUGGCAUAGGCUUUGGGACAUCAAUGUCCUGUCCUUCCUUCUUGUCUCCUGAGGUCGGGCCCUCCAGCCUACCCAGUCCCAGGCACCUGGAAGAAGCUCUCCACGUGUUCCCUUGGGGCCUCCUCUCGGAGUGCAGGCUCACCUCGAAACUGACUGAGCCAUCAUGGUUGGUGUCAAAGGCAUUGAAGAGGAAAGUGGCGUAGGUGCUGGAGUCUGUUGAGUGAGUGUGAAGAAGCCAGAGACUCCCAGAGAGAGAAAAAUCUUCAUGGUUCCAGAGGACUCACCACUUAGCUCUCCUAAGGGAAGCAAGGUUUCUUCUAGUGCAUAAAUAAAAAGCAUGGAACUACCACACUAGCCUCCAGGCUUGGGUUCUGUUCCACUUGGCUCAAGGGUGGCUAGAGAUUUGAUGUGGGAGGCAGGCCCACACCCCUCCCACUCAGAGCAUCCAGGCUGUAUUUUCUGGAAAGUCAAUGAUAGGUCCCCCCCCUCCGGGCCCACCCCUAGCU